rnacentral:rRNA from 1 species
AACGAACGCUGGCGGCAGGCUUAACACAUGCAAGUCGAGCGCGUAGCAAUACGAGCGGCAGACGGGUGAGUAACGCGUGGGAAUCUACCCAACCCUACGGAAUAACGCAUGGAAACGUGUGCUAAUACCGUAUACGCCCUUCGGGGAAGGAUUAUCGGGAGUGGAUGAGCCCGCGUUGGAUUAGCUAGUUGGUGGGGUAAAGGCCUACCAAGGCGACGAUCCAUAGCUGGUCUGAGAGGAUGAUCAGCCACAUUGGGACUGAGACACGGCCCAAACUCCUACGGGAGGCAGCAGUGGGGAAUAUUGGACAAUGGGCGCAAGCCUGAUCCAGCCAUGCCGCGUGAGUGAU